rnacentral:lncRNA from 1 species
GUGAGGUAGGGAAGGAAUAGAAUAAGAUUCCUGUCAUGUAGACUGCUUCUCCGACAUGGACUGCACUGAGGACAUAUCAGCAGGCAAAUAUUCCCAAAGAAGUCUGAGCACCGUCCCACAGGAGACAUGGUGCUCACCACUAGGGGGAGAAAAGGCACUGGCUGCCGUGUCUGUCUGCUGAAAGGAGACUGAAAUUCUACAGCGAGGGAUGGAAACAAUGGCACAAUGUCGUAGUGGAAAGUUACAGGUUCGAGGGAGGUUAGUGCCCCCUGUGGACAGAGAGCACCAGUACACCAACAAGCCGAGCUGGACUUUGGUUGAUGGAGGCCCUUGAGCUCUUUCUCGUCUUGCUUCUCAUCUUCUUGGUUUAGAGGGAAAAACUGGACGAAGGUUGGAAAAGAAGAAUGCAUAAACUCUCAUCCUUCUGGCAAUGGUACCUAAACAGCUUAAGAGGUCUUAUAGCCCUGUCAGAUCAAAGGAACGACAGCUUGUUUAGGAGACCUUGGAUGCCGUGUUUUAUGGCUUCAAGAAGAUAAGGGAGAGUGGAGGUAUAUGAGAAUGGAGGAGAGACUGCAGCUGGGUGGCCGUUUACGACGAAUAACAUCUGGUGAGAAAGAUCCUGUAACUGUCAUCAGUUCCAACAAUCUGAUGGAGGAAACACGCUGAUGAUGUAAACCCCCGGUUAGAUGUCGCGAGGAAUCGGUAAGGUGAGGAUGGUGCACUGGUAGGACGCACCACGCAGGUGUUUGGCCUUUUUAUUUCCUACUUUGUAUAUGUGAAUAUGUGAUAUUUAUUCAGCCAGUGCUGAGAAUGAAGAAUCAAAUUCACAAUGUACUACUAGUCUGAACCUGGCAUUUAAAGGUGUCCAGAGCAGCCCUGAUGUCCCGGACUGAGCUCUGAAUUACAUUUUCCCAGUGUGCAAAAUUUAAAACAGAAAAAACAAGGGACCCCUUCAUGCCUC